rnacentral:rRNA from 1 species
UAGGGAAUCUUCGGCAAUGGACGAAAGUCUGACCGAGCAACGCCGCGUGAGUGAAGAAGGCCUUCGGAUCGUAAAACUCUGUUGUCAGAGAAGAACAAGGACGUUAGUAACUGAACGUCCCCUGACGGUAUCUAACCAGAAAGCAACGGCUAACUACGUGCCAGCAGCCGCGGUAAUACGUAGGUGGCAAGCGUUGUCCGGAUUUAUUGGGCGUAAAGCGAGCGCAGGCGGUUUCUUAAGUCUGAUGUGAAAGCCCCCGGCUCAACCGGGGAGGGUCAUUGGAAACUGGGAGACUUGAGUGCAGAAGAGGAGAGUGGAAUUCCAUGUGUAGCGGUGAAAUGCGUAGAUAUAUGGAGGAACACCGGUGGCGAAGGCGGCUCUCUGGUCUGUAACUGACGCUGAUGCUCGAAAGCGUGGGGAGCAAACAGG